CCUACGGGUGGCAGCAGUGGGGGAUAUUGCACAAUGGGGGGAACCCUGAUGCAGCGACGCCGCGUGGGUGAAGGAGCGUUUCGGCGCGUAAAGCCCUAUCGGCAGGGAAGAAGAUGACGGUACCUGACCAAGAAGCCCCGGCUAACUACGUGCCAGCAGCCGCGGUAAUACGUAGGGGGCAAGCGUUAUCCGGAUUUACUGGGUGUAAAGGGAGCGUAGACGGCGGGGCAAGUCUGGAGUGAAAGGCCGGGGCCCAACCCCGGGACCGCUCUGGAAACUGCCCGGCUGGAGUGCGGGAGAGGUAAGCGGAAUUCCUAGUGUAGCGGUGAAAUGCGUAGAUAUUAGGAGGAACACCAGCGGCGAAGGCGGCUUACUGGACCGUGACUGACGUUGAGGCUCGAAAGCGUGGGGAGCAAACAGGAUUAGAUACCCGAGUAGUC
rnacentral:rRNA from 1 species